GUUUGAAGAAGUGGUCGAUGUGUGACUGAUGUCCAAGGCCCACCGCCUGGUCUUCUUUAAGGAUGGGGCAGAGGCAGAAGGAAAGGACAAGCAAUGUCACUACUUACAUUCACCUUCCAGCAGAUCCAGCGGGAGACCAGAGCAGAGCUCCCUACUGGUAUUACUUGCUCUCUGGCUUUGAAAAAGGUUGUGAUAGUCUUCCAGAACAUACACUGUCAUGCCUGACCCUCUGCUGCUCAUCCACCAUUCACAGAGAACAGGACUCAAGUAGGU